AAAAAAAAAAAAGGAAUAAAGGGCAUGUGGGCCGCAGCCCUUAAAAAAAGAAAAAAAUGGGCCUCAGCCCAUUAUAACGUGAACAACAAGGGCAAAGGCUGAACAUAUGUUCUGCCAUCCACUUUGAAAGAAAAGAAAAUCAAAACAAAAACGUGGGUUCAGUCACUUUCAAGUGAAGAAACACAAAAGGAAUUCAAGCAUAGAUAAAUGAUAAGGAUAGGAGGACAAGAGAAAGAUUGAUCGAAGGAAGUGGUACGGAUUUGCGUGGUGACGAGUCUGGUAUUUCGACACGAGUACUAGACCGCAGGUGACGUUGGUGAGGAUUACGGUAACUAGAGAGCACGAGUUGAAAGUUCCCGGUGAGCCCCGCACUUGUCCGCGUGGGCCAAGAUUCUAUUAUCUAUGAUGGUCUUUUCUUUUGAAUUCUUAGAGUUGCUCCAUAGUCAUUUGAUUUAUUCCAUGAGUAUUCUUUAUUCAUUAUAGACUGGUGACUAGUAUUAGGCGUUUUUCCCGUAUUUCAGAGAUGUUUUAGUAUUAUUACGUUGAAAACGGGUUGAUUGAGGAUGAUUGCAUUUAGUUUGGUUGAGAUUGGAUAUUUUUGUUGUUGAUUU